ensembl:lncRNA
ACUGGCGGCCAGGCCUGCCCGGGGCUCCGGCGUCCGGGCCGGGACCACGAGUCCCGCCCGCCCACGUGGGAACACAGGCACGAUCGAUCCCCGUGGCUCCCGCCUCUGGCGCGCGACGAUUUCUCUAACACUUUCAUUUUAAAAGUUUGUCAAGCGCUCUCGUUUGUGUGAUCCGCGCUGGGUUUGGGGCUUCGCUGACUUUCCAGCUCACCUAAGCCCUUAGGCCUAGGCCCAGGGAAGAUUUGUUGAGUGGAGGACUAAGAAGGGAGUUGGUUUAUGGGACAGAUGUUCCUUGAGCAGCUGCUGCGUGCUGGACAUGGCGCCAGCGCGGGAUCUUCAGGGCGACCUGGGGCCCGAAGCUUGGAGUCAGCGUGAGAAAGGAGAAGCAGGUUCCUUGAUUCCAGAUAAAUCAGAGGAACAAGCUUCAUGAACAAAAAUAUAUUGGGAAUGCUGUGGCACUGCAGCGUGACUGUUGUUUCGGAAGUCUAACAUCUGGCACGCUUAACAGCUGAGAAUAUAUUAUUUCCGAAAGCACCUAGCUUUUACUCAUGCUUAUAGUAUAGUAAGUUCUUUUUUUUUUUGUUUGAGGAAGAUUAGCCCUGAUCUAACAUCUGCUGCCAAUCCUGCUCUUUUUGCUGAGGAAGCCUGGCCCUGAGCUAACAUAUGUGCCCAUCUUCCUCUACUUUAUAUGCGGAUGCCGCCACAGCGUGGCUUGCCAAGCAGUGCCAUCUCCGCACCUGGGAUCCGAACUGACGAACCCCGGGCCACUGAAGCGGAAUGUGCGCACUUAACCGCUGUGCUGUGCCACUGGGCCGGCCCCCUAGUAAGUUCUUUUUUUUUUUUUUUUUAAUAAAUAUUGGUGAGUCGUUCCCAAAAACCUAAUUGUUUAUUGCCUCCUUUAAACUGUCUAAUUCUGCUUUCGUGUUGACUGGAAGAGGGAGAGGAAUUCGCAGACUUGUGUUGUGAGGACCCGGAGCGGUCCUGAGGAGUUGCAGAGCUCCUCCCUAGUGUGUAGUCCUGGCUUCGGAGGCAUAGUUGUCAACUGUUAUUGUUAAUAAGUUGAGAGUACAGCUGUCAUCAGAGAUUAAGGGUAACCCUCGAGCAGGAAGAGUACAAAGCGUGUGUUUUUCAAAAUUCCGGGAGAGUGCUGCCUACCACGGAGCGUGGCGAGAACAUGCAUGAAGUGUCAGGAUGUGGGAAAGCAUGUCGGCUCUCUUCCAGGGACCUCAGUGAUGGUUCGAGCAAAGGCAGGAAGACCAAUCAUGUAUCUGAACCGAAGAAACUGAAACAGUACAUCAAAAUUUAGGUGUUUAAUAAAAAUAUAAAACGUGAUCUCUGUUGAACAUAUUCCUUUGUCUUUGAUUUAGAACUAUUCUUGCAGUAUUGCGUCAGACAUCAGUGAUUUGAAGCAGCAAAGAAAAUAGUAUUUGAAAUAUUUCUUCCAAACCACAUGAUUCGGGCAUUUUAUAUGAUUUGGCCUUUUAGUUUUGAGGUUUCUCUUUAGAAAUUCUGUAAUGAAAACAUGACAAAAAUAUACUUCUUAAAUAAACAAUUGUCAAAAACUAUACUUAUGCUCAAAUGUAUUUGGGUGUUUAGAACACGUACGUAGAUAAUCUAUGUCAGUGUGUGAUCUCUCCCUCGUGGACAUUACUGAGGGGGUGCGGGUGGGAAGUACACAGAAACUUAUGAGAAGCCUGGGAUUUUGGUCACAAAAUGUAAUUAGACCCCAAACUAAAUAAUCAGGCCAUGUAAACAUGCUGACUCGGGCAUCCUAAAAAUGUUUUUCUUUCCUGUGCUUAUUGACAGAUAAAGCUUUAUUGAUUUGAUAAAAUUUCUCUUCCACCCACUCCUCCAAAAGCAAAUUCACGCUUGAAUCCAUAGUUACGAACCUCACACAUUGGAGAUCGUUUCUUCCUAUGUCUCAGCCCUAAACGAAGAGGCGGGGUCGCUGAAGCUAAGAGGGCGCUUUCCUUCCUGACUUCAGUCUCCAAGUCUGUGCUGCGUUCUGACAAAAGGUGUGUUUCUGUGCGUAGGACAUGCCCUACAGAAAUGUCUCGGUCCAAGCUGGCCAGAGCUUCUCUAAGUGUCAUUUUCAGGGAAAAGUGGCUACUUGGGUUGCACAAGGGGUUGAGCCACCAAACCUCCCUGAACUAAAAUACCAUUUGGGACCCAGAGUUCCGUAGACUCCAGCUGGAACCUGAACCUUCUCUCUGCUGUGACCGAGCUCUAUCCGGUAAUUUUAAAGCACCACUGCACCCUGGAAUUAACUUGAUCCCCCAGCGACCCUAAAAAUAAUGUCAUGUGAGAAACCAAGGCAAUGCCCAGCCCUCUAAGAGAAUGUUCGAUAGUCUCUAAUGCAAAGAGAGAAAUGCCCUCUGGAUGUUUACUGCGUCUAUCUGACGAGACAGCUGGCUUUAUAAAUACUUCUCUAGCCAUGGGAGCGGCCUCAGUUUUGCUAUCUCUGUUUCCCACAUCGUGUAGAGACGGGAAGCAAGGCCCCCUUAGGCCCUGCUUGCGCUGUAUCACAUAGGUCCUGCUCUCCUCGUCUGGGUAAAAUGAAGAGACAUGCUGUGCUGUGCACUGGGUUCAUUCAGUCUAAAACAGACCCUGGGAGAUGCCGAUGAAAUCAGAUUCUCUGAAGAAGCAUUUGUGAAAGUCCUGGAUGCCACAGCAGAACCUGGAUUCUGGUCUCCACACAUGUUAGAUUUGGAAUAUAGAGGUGUGAGGCCUGGUUCCAGUCCUAAGCAUCACUAAAUACUUAGGAGUUCUUUCUGAUUCUCCUUAGAAUUUUCCACCCCUGCUCUCUUCCUCUGCCUGGAUUUGUGAAAAAUGGAUUUGUGAUGUCUGCAAAAGGUUAUGCUGAUUUCACGAUGUCUUUACGUAAGGGCUGCAGGGUUUUAAGGAAUCUAUUCCGCUGCUCCUGAACAUUUACCCCCAAAUAAUGCCAUCUUCCAUGUGUGGAAUACUAUCUUGUUCUUCAAACAGGUUUUGUGUACAUGAGUUACAUCAACCCUAGGAUGAUGGUUCUCAGCUAUUUUGGUCCCCAAAUUAUGUUCUCUGUCCAGUGUUUGUUUAUAACAUCUUUUGGCAGACUUGAGCAGUUGGGGUUCCUCUGUAAGUUUUGUUCCCCUCAAGCGCUUUUUAGCAUUUUACUGCUGAAUCCUAGCAUCCCCAGGAAGUCCCGCAUAAAAUUAAAUAUUCCUGAAUUACCUUCGCUGGCCCUGCAUGUGUGUUUAUUGGAUGCAGAUGUGAUCUUUGUGCUUUGUGAAACUAAAAUGACACCAUUUCAAGCCAAAACUCCAAUGGAAGAAAUAGAAACCAUGGCUUUUUCACUUCCGAGAGUUCAGUUCUCUUAUCUCCGUGCUUCUUUUUCACAUUGAGGACUGAACUCCUUGGCUCUGGCCCUUUAAAACCAGACAUCUGCUGGACUUCGCUCUAUUGAGAACAUUAUUUUAUUCUGAAAGAAAGAACCCAAAUCCUGUCCCUCUAAGGUAACAUUAAGAAUUAAGUGGUAAUCAUAAAACACGUGAAGGCUUGAUUAAAGGUAGUAAAAGAACUGUUGACUUUCCUCAACUGUCUGUUUAAUGAAAGACUUUAAUGUUUUGCAUCCUGUGUUUCUCUUUUUAUCAGCACAUACUUUCUAUAACGCAAACUGUUAUUACACUCCAGCAACUUCUGAGAAGGUGCCCAGACCACAGAAGAUGAAAAGCUGGGAGCCAGUGCUGUUGUGUGUCAGACCUGUUAUGAAGAUUUAUCUGUUACCAGAAGUUUCUGUCCCCCUCUGAUAAUCACUGAGUUCGCGGCCAGAUGAACAUUUAGACCGUUUUAUUGUUUUCUUGUCAAUGAUUGCUAAGAUGUAUUGCCAAGGCCGUAAAUACUCUUUAUGAUGAGUCAGGAUUUCACUUCGUACUUCAAACUUUGAGCCUUAAUGACUUCAUGCCUUCAAAAUUAAAUCUUGCUGUCAUGGGAACCCGUCACUCCAGGCUUCUUCAACAAUUCAUCUAGCCAAGGAAGAAAAAUUCACCCCAGUUUCACAGAGGUGGUGAGGGGGCAGGUUGGAAAUGGGAUAAAACAUUAACUGUUCGUCUUGUUUUGCGGGAAAAGAUCGGAGGAUUUUAAAUAUAUUUUUUCUGCAUUCAUGUCCAGAAAAAAAUCCCAUUUGUUAAUUCUAAACUUUACGCUUUCUGUAAGUGUAACCUACUAAUUAACUGAUAUCAAAUUUAUGUGAGCCAGAGUUUCAGUUAAAGACUAUAUUAUAAAUCAAUUAUAUUCUGGGGGAAAAAAAAAGGAAGAGGGCAGCUUUUUUCAUAAAGCCCACUUGCAAACUUG